rnacentral:rRNA from 1 species
CGCCUGCCCUGUGACAAAGGUUUAACGGCCGCGGUAUUUUGACCGUGCAAAGGUAGCGCAAUCACUUGUCCUUUAAAUGAAGACCUGUAUGAAUGGCAUCACGAGGGCUUAACUGUCUCCUUUUUCCAGUCAAUGAAAUUGAUCCCCCCGUGCAGAAGCGGGGAUAAAACCAUAAGACGAGAAGACCCUAUGAAGCUUUAGACNAAAACAGAUCUUGUUAAACACCUCAAAAUAAAGAAACAAACNUAAAAGAAUGCUGUCCUGNAUGUCUUUGGUUGGGGCGACCACGGGGAAACGAAAAACCCCCAUGCGGACUGAGAAAACAAUUCUCACAAACAAGAGCCACAGCUCUAGUUAACAGAACUUCUGACCCUNUAGAUCCGGCAGUGCCGAUCAACGGACCGAGUUACUCUAGGGAUAACAGCGCAAUCCUCUUUUAGAGUUCCUAUCGACAAGAGGGUUUACGACCUCGAUGUUGGAUCAGGACAUCCUAAUGGUGCAGCAGCUAUUAAGGG